rnacentral:rRNA from 1 species
UGUAUAAUGGGUCAGCGACUUAUAUUCUGUAGCAAGGUUAACCGAAUAGGGGAGCCGAAGGGAAACCGAGUCUUAACUGGGCGUUAAGUUGCAGGGUAUAGACCCGAAACCCGGUGAUCUAGCCAUGGGCAGGUUGAAGGUUGGGUAACACUAACUGGAGGACCGAACCGACUAAUGUUGAAAAAUUAGCGGAUGACUUGUGGCUGGGGGUGAAAGGCCAAUCAAACCGGGAGAUAGCUGGUUCUCCCCGAAAGCUAUUUAGGUAGCGCCUCGUGAAUUCAUCUCCGGGGGUAGAGCACUGUUUCGGCAAGGGGGUCAUCCCGACUUACCAACCCGAUGCAAACUGCGAAUACCGGAGAAUGUUAUCACGGGAGACACACGGCGGGUGCUAACGUCCGUCGUGAAGAGGGAAACAACCCAGACCGCCAGCUAAGGUCCCAAAGUCAUGGUUAAGUGGGAAACGAUGUGGGAAGGCCCAGACAGCCAGGAUGUUGGCUUAGAAGCAGCCAUCAUUUAAAGAAAGCGUAAUAGCUCACUGGUCGAGUCGGCCUGCGCGGAAGAUGUAACGGGGCUAAACCAU